ACCAUAAAUGGCUGUUUUCUUGAACUCAGGCUGUUUGGGAGGCAUGAAGUAAGACGAGGAUGAAAGAGUAGGCAAAUCGUGAAGGGUGUGUAUGUAUAUUAUGGUGAGUGUUCAAGCAGUCACAGGGAGGUUAUGGGGAUUGGAAAGGAAUGUUUAAAAAUAGCUGGAGGUUUAAAAAUAAAGGGUGGGAUUUAGUAAGAAAUGUUAAGGGGCUGAAUAAGGCAGUGUGGUAAGCAAGGAGCAAAAACGGCCUCUUGGUUGUGCUGUGACUCAUGUCUCACAGACCUUAUAAUAGGAGGUUGGAUCACCCUGGCACAAUCUCCAACAGUUUGAUUAACAAAGUGCUAAAAAGAACUAAACCAUUACAACAAGAAUAGCAGGCUACUGAGUUUCCAGCAAAUGAGAGAAUUAGAACAUCCCUUAUAGAUCCAUAACUCAUCAAUUUCACUAUGCAUGAGCUGAAGAUAGGCAAUUCUCCACUAGAUGAGGAGUCUAUGAAUUUCAAGGGAGACAAUUUAAGCCUAAAACUUAAAACAAAUUUGAUCCAA
rnacentral:lncRNA from 1 species